GGGGAAUCUUCCGCAAUGGACGAAAGUCUGACGGAACAACGCCGCGUGAACGAUGAAGGUCUUCGGAUUGUAAAGUUCUGUGAUCCGGGACGAAGGCAUCAGUUGAGAAUAUUGAUUGAUGUUGACGGUACCGGAAAAGCAAGCCACGGCUAACUACGUGCCAGCAGCCGCGGUAAUACGUAGGUGGCAAGCGUUGUCCGGAAUUAUUGGGCGUAAAGCGCGCGCAGGCGGCCGUGCAAGUCCAUCUUAAAAGCGUGGGGCUUAACCCCAUGAGGGGAUGGAAACUGCAGGGCUGGAGUGUCGGAGGGGAAAGUGGAAUUCCUAGUGUAGCGGUGAAAUGCGUAGAGAUUAGGAAGAACACCGGUGGCGAAGGCGACUUUCUAGACGACAACUGACGCUGAGGCGCGAAAGCGUGGGGAGCAAAC
rnacentral:rRNA from 1 species